rnacentral:rRNA from 1 species
CCUACGUGUGGCAGCAGUGGGGAAUAUUGCGCAAUGGGCGAAAGCCUGACGCAGCGACGCCGCGUGAGGGAUGAAGGUCUUCGGAUCGUAAACCUCUGUCAGCAGGGAAGAACGGUCACUGUGCUAAUCAGCAGUGAAUUGACGGUACCUGCAAAGGAAGCACCGGCUAACUCCGUGCCAGCAGCCGCGGUAAUACGGAGGGUGCGAGCGUUAAUAGGAAUUACUGGGCGUAAAGCGCUCGUAGGCGGUAUGGCAAGUCAAGGGUGAAAUCCCCGCGCUCAACGUGGGAACGGCCUUUGAAACUGGCAAACUGGAGUGUGUGAGAGGAUAGUGGAAUUCCAGGUGUAGGAGUGAAAUCCGUAGAUAUCUGGAGGAACAUCAGUGGCGAAGGCGACUAUCUGGCACAUAACUGACGCUGAGGAGCGAAAGCGUGGGUAGCAAACAGGAUUAGAUACCCCAGUAGUC